rnacentral:rRNA from 1 species
AAUGGACGAAAGUCUGACGGAGCAACGCCGCGUGAGUCAUGAAGGCUUUCGGGUCGUAAAACUCUGUUGUUAGGGAAGAACAAGUACGAGAGUAACUGCUCGUACCUUGACGGUACCUAACCAGAAAGCCACGGCUAACUACGUGCCAGCAGCCGCGGUAAUACGUAGGUGGCAAGCGUUAUCCGGAAUUAUUGGGCGUAAAGCGCGCGCAGGCGGUUUCUUAAGUCUGAUGUGAAAGCCCACGGCUCAACCGUGGAGGGUCAUUGGAAACUGGGGAACUUGAGUGCAGAAGAGAAAAGCGGAAUUCCACGUGUAGCGGUGAAAUGCGUAGAGAUGUGGAGGAACACCAGUGGCGAAGGCGGCUUUUUGGUCUGUAACUGACGCUGAGGCGCGAAAGCGUGGGGAGCAAACAGGAUUAGAUACCCUGGUUAGUCCACGCCGUAAACGAUGAGUGCUAAGUGUUAGAGGGUUUCCGCCCUUUAGUGCUGCAGCUAACGCAUUAAGCACUCCGCCUGGGGAGUACGGUCGCAAGACUGAAACUCAAAUGAAUUGACGG